UAGAGAGCUAAGUAAAAACAUCAUUAUUUGAAUGGUAAAACCAUUACAGUAACUUCACUAAACUGAUUAAGUGUGUCUUUGUGUGUGUGUGUGUGUGUGUGUGUGUGUGUGUGUGUGCAUGUUUCUGCAGGGGAAGGCAGCAGAGGUGAAAGUGCGCUGGCUACCUUGCUCUUCCUGUGGCAGAGUCUGGGAGGACACCUGGGAGCCGGCCAGCAAAUUCGCCUGAUGGCUAAUACUGUUGUACUAUUUGUUUUGUAUAUAUUUGUCAAUAAUUAAAUUCACUAUUGUUACA